rnacentral:lncRNA from 1 species
CUUGGUGUAAUUGUGGGGACCUGUCCUGCGUUUAAUUGCAUUUAAGCAUCUAGAAUGUGUGUGUGUUGGAGGCGGGGGGGGGGGGGGGGAGGGGGGGGGGUCGGUGGGGGGGAGUGGGGCGGGGCCUGUUACUCACAGAGAUGGGCCGAGCAUCACCUGUAUUAGAAUUAUCUGGGAUGACUGCUGAACAUGUAAUGUGUCUCAGAUUUUCCUCAAGCCAACAAGUAGGGAAGCAUGUGAAUCUGUAUUUUAAUCAGUUCUGCACCAGAAUCCCAGCAUGUGAACUGGACAUGAUCACCCAGUUGGAGGAAGAACAACUAUACAUACUGGAUCUUCAGGGAACUGAAGAGGGGACUGACCAAAAAUAUCUGUUUAGAUAGGGAAGAUUUGAACUGAACUGAAGCAUCACCACCAAUCAGGCUGUUUUGGAAGAACUAGAGUUUUCAGGGUCAGCAAUGGAAAGUCUUCAAGGGAAUACUGCCCAGCAUCCUAUGGAUGAAAAAGCCUGUAAAAGUGAGGGCCAAUUAUCAAGGCAGACAAAAUGUCCUGUACAGAAGAAAUCUUCUUUUGAGAAAACAGCAAUCAGAAAAGUGUCAGUGUCUCUCAAGGAGAUUUUCACUAAGGAGAAAGGCCCUGAAUACAGUAAAUUUAAUCUAAGCUCAAAUUUUAAUACACGGCAGAGAAUUCCAAAGGGAGCUAGGUCCCCCAAAUCUAGGAAAAACUCCAAAGAUAAUUCAGAUUUAAUUAAACACCAAAAACUCUUUCUGCAAAGGAAGCCUUGUAAAUGCAAUGAAUGUGGUAAAGCCUUUAAUUAUGAAUCAGACCUCAUUGUCCACAGGAGAAUUCAUGGUGGAGAAAAGCCUUUUGAAUGCAAUGAAUGUGGGAAAACUUUUAGCCGAAGCACACACCUUAUUGAACAUCAAAGAACUCACACUGGAGAGAAACCUUAUGAAUGCCCUGAAUGUGGAAAAGCUUUUAGCCGGAGUACACACCUUAGUCUACAUCAGAGGAUCCAUACUGGAGAAAAACCAUAUGAAUGUAGUGAAUGUGGAAAAGCCUUUAGCCGAAGCACUAACCUUAGUCAACAUCAGCGAACUCAUACUCAAGAAAAACCUUACAAGUGUAAUGAAUGCGGGAAAGCCUUCAGUGACCGUUCAACUAUAAUUCAGCAUCAACGAAUACACACUGGAGAGAAUCCCUAUGAAUGCAGUGAAUGUGGAAAAGCUUACAGUUGGAUCUCAUCUCUUAUUGAACAUCAGAGAACACACUCUGGAGAGAACCCCUAUGAAUGCAAUGACUGUGGAAAAGUAUUCAGUCGAAGCUCAUCCCUUGCUGAACAUCAGAGAAUCCACACUGGAGAAAAGCCCCAUGAGUGUAGAGUGUGUGGCAAGGGCUUUAGUCGGAGCUCCUCCCUUAUUAUUCACCAGAGAACUCAUACCAGAGAGAAGCCUUUCAAGUGUAAUAGCUGUGAGAAAGCCUUCAGUCAGAGUUCAACUCUUAUUAGACAUCAGCAACUUCACACUAAAGAGUAAUAUCUGAGCUUUCACUAAUCUUGGCAUAAGAGCACAUAGCAUAACCUCCUAUAGCUGAAGAGAAAUAUAUACUUGUUUGAAUUUUCCUUUUCCACUAGCUAUAAGCCAGUUUCAAGCUAGCCUUCCUUCCUUUAUGGAAACUAAGUGAUCAGAUUCAUUUCAACAAGGCGGGGAUGAACUUUAAAAACCUUAGAUAUUCAGUCUAAUAUUUUGGAGGGCUCCAGUCUUAGAAUAUACCUUACUACCUUACACCUUUCAGUCCUUCACCUUAUCUCUUCCAUGGAGCUUUGGUCCCUGAACAACCAGUGAACCCUUUUCUUUCCCAACCACAUCAGCCCCUUUACUUAAAAGAGGAAAUCCUGUGUGUGGAUGUUUUCAAGCUUGCUGACUCUAGUAGCAGAAGAGAAGCUGGCUUCAGAACAAAAAUCUACCCAUUAGUUUGGGGAUGACAAUAAUAAGCCAAAUUCAGCCUCUGGACUUAAAGGACAGUUUUUCUAUUCCUUCCUCCCUUACCUUUUUGGCUACACCAUAUUUUCCUCAAAGUAUAACCCAUAGUUCUACUAAUGUGCCUAAUUAAUCCUAGUAUUAUUUUAUCUUAUCCUGACCAAAAAUGUCCUAAAAAUCUUAUAUUUAGUUCCUACAUUAUCUUUAAAAAAAAAUGCUGCCCUAUAUUAAAAACAUUUUUUGUUUACACACUUCAUAAAUGUAUACCCUCUGGUUCUGACUCUUACCAAUCUUGUAAAGCUGAUCUAUCGAGGACAAAUGCAGCGCCUACCUCUCAGUCCUUUUCCUACUUCACAUUUGCAGAAUUGGCACUUUGGGCUACUCUUAUGCCUUAAAAUUUGAGCCUCUGGGAUCCAUGAUUCUGUGCUGAUCCACAAAUUUUUCUGCCUCCCAGCACUUCUCUGAUUAACAGUGAUUAGCUCUGUGACUUUGGGGCAAGAGUUGAGCCAGAAUAAUUUCAUUUUAUUGGCUUAUAGUACUUAUGGUUAUUCAAUUAGAUUGUAAGCUUCUUAAAGACAAAAAUCUUGUUUUAGAUCCCUACAAAACAUCCCACAGUGCUGAGUGGUCACUAAAUGCCCCAUAAUUAUUGCUUACCGAUUCCUCUCUAUCAUGGGUAAUCAGCCUGCUAGGGUUUAUUUGAAAUGGCCUAAUAGUUGACUUUUUUCUCUGUGUUCCUACUGCUGCUGCUGCCAACUCCUUGGUAGUUUGGACCUAGGUUACCAGAGUGAACACACUGUUGCUGCUCUUAUCUCUGUGUCUUUAUCUAGCUGUUUUACUAAACUAUCACUUAGCUCAGAAAGAAUCUAGUUUCCCAUUAUCCCCAGGAAAAAGUUCAAACUGCUUUAACUUGAAGACCUUCCACAGUUGGAUCUAUUUAUUUAUUUUCAUUACUCCCCAGUACAGCUGGGUGGCCCUACCCUUUGUCUCUGCCACAGCCUUUCUCUUCACACUUGUCUUCCUUUCAGAUUAUUCCAUGGCAUUCUUUUACAUGUCCUGCUUUCUUCCUUGUAUUAACAUCUCCAGAAAUCUUUUAUAAAAGCCCUGCUCACAUUCUGCCUUCACUGUGAUAUUUUCAAUUGCCCACCUUCUUAGAAGUCUUUUACAGUGAUGGUUUGCAUCAUUCUGCUGUAUUACAUAGUUUCUUAUUCUGUUCUCUGGUUCUGUCAAGUGCUUUUAAUCCAUGAAAUUUUUUGAAGUUAGAAAUUGUCUUAAAUCUCUUGAAGCCCCAUCUACCCAAAUGAAUUCUAGUUUUAACUUAAAUUGAGAGGGUUUAAUUUAAUGGUCCAUUUGCUUUAAUCUUUUGAAUGGUGAGAUAACCUCAUGAAUCUUUGGGUCAUUUUUGUUUAAUCUUUAAUUAUGUACAUUGAGCCUUGGGACUGGCUCCCCUUCAGAGCUCCUAGGAUGUUGGCCUUUUAGCUUUCCACUUCAUGACACUGUUUUAAGGAGUAGGUGGGUUUAUUCAUAUAAAGUGAUGAAAACAGUGCCUGACAUAAUAAAUGCUCAAUAAAUGCUAAUAGUUAUCAUUCUAUUUCUUAAUAUCUGCCUGUAGUCUUUCAUUUCAAUCCUGAAGGACCUGUAACUCCACAGAAAUGGAAAACUAGGAUCACAAUAAAAAAUAAGAAGAUAUUUCUUCUGACUGCCGUCCUGGAUAAUAGUCACCUACUUUAUUUUAACUCUACUGUGUAUCAAAAAUGACUCAAGGCAGCUUACAAGAUAUGAUACAACAGAAAACUGAAAACAAUACAAAUCAGCAUUAGAGAAAGGAGAAGUUGCCUAGAAGAUCAAGAUCAUGACAAAUUGUGGUAUGCAAUAUGGUUAUUCAGGUAGAGAUGCAAAGUGACCAUUCAGGUGAAAUGAGGUGCUCAUUUGCUUACACUGUAUUUGGAUGGGGAGAAAAUGUCCAUUCUUCAAGGAAAGCCUGAUAGAUUUAAGAUUUAUUUCUCCAUUGGCCUUCAUGUAAUUAUACAGUGCACUUUUGAUAACAAAAAUUAAAUUAUGUGUUCUUCACAACACCU